AACGAACGCUGGCGGCAUGCCUAACACAUGCAAGUCGAACGAAGGCUUCGGCCUUAGUGGCGCACGGGUGCGUAACGCGUGGGAAUCUGCCCUUUGGUUCGGAAUAACAGCUGGAAACGGCUGCUAAUACCGGAUGAUGACGAAAGUCCAAAGAUUUAUCGCCAGAGGAUGAGCCCGCGUUGGAUUAGGUAGUUGGUGGGGUAAAGGCCUACCAAGCCGACGAUCCAUAGCUGGUCUGAGAGGAUGAUCAGCCACACUGGGACUGAGACACGGCCCAGACUCCUACGGGAGGCAGCAGGGGGGAAUAUUGGACAAUGGGCGCAAGCCUGAUCCAGCAAUGCCGCGUGAGUGAUGAAGGCCCUAGGGUUGUAAAGCUCUUUUACCCGGGAAGAUAAUGACUGUACCGGGAGAAUAAGCCCCGGCUAACUCCGUG
rnacentral:rRNA from 1 species